CAAGAAUUGUGAUAAUUAUGUUUGUUUGUCUGAUGAGAUGAAGGCAAGCAAGGAAGAGCAAGUCGCAGCUUUGGCAAAAAACGUGUUAAGUGGCAAGCAGAUGAAAAUGCUUAAGUAUCUGUUCAAGGAUUAUCGACAGUGAGAGUGAGGUCAAGAAAACAAAAGCCAUAGCUAAAGCACAGAUUCAUGUCAAAAGAGCCAAUGCUAGGCUGAAAGACUUCAAAAUUUUAGGUGUCAUUCCUUUGUAUUUGCACUGCUAUGCUGACAUUUUGUUUCAGUUAUGUGGA